GGUGGAAUGGUGAAAUAGGUAGACACAUCGGAUUUAAGUCCCGGUGCUUAUAAGAGCGUGAGGGUUCGAGUCCCUCUUCCACUA
rnacentral:tRNA from 1 species